rnacentral:rRNA from 1 species
AUUGAACGCUGGCGGCAGGCCUAACACAUGCAAGUCGAGCGGCGCGGCGGACGGGUGAGUAAUGACUAGGAAUUUGCAUGGUAGUGGGGGAUAAAGCUCGGUAACGGGCGCUAUUACCGCAUAAUAGCAGAUGAGUCUAGGUCGGAUUAGAUAGUUGGUGGGGUAAUGGCCUACCAAGGCGACGAUCCGUAACUGGUCUGAGAGGAUGAUCAGUCAAACUGGGACUGAGACACGGUCCAGACUCCUACGGGAGGCAGCAGUGGGGAAUAUUGGACAAUGGGCGAAAGCCUGAUCGAGCCAUGCCGCGUGUGUGAAGAAGGUCUUCGGAUUGUAAAGCACUUUAAGUUGGGAGGCGUUACCAACAGAAUAAGCACCGGCUAACUACGUGCCAGCAGCCGCGGUAAUUC